rnacentral:ncRNA from 17 species
GUAUUGUGGGGACCACCUCCCUGAGAGGUGUUGGGCACUAGCCAGCCGUAACGGCUUGCACGCGAGAUCUAGACCCCUUCGUGCAACCACACUCAAGCAGUCGUUACAGCAAGCCAAGCCAUUUUUUUGG